rnacentral:rRNA from 1 species
GAUGAACGCUGGCGGCGUGCCUAAUACAUGCAAGUCGAGCGAACAGACGAGGAGCUUGCUCCUCUGACGUUAGCGGCGGACGGGUGAGUAACACGUGGAUAACCUACCUAUAAGACUGGGAUAACUUCGGGAAACCGGAGCUAAUACCGGAUAAUAUAUUGAACCGCAUGGUUCAAUAGUGAAAGACGGUUUUGCUGUCACUUAUAGAUGGAUCCGCGCCGCAUUAGCUAGUUGGUAAGGUAACGGCUUACCAAGGCGACGAUGCGUAGCCGACCUGAGAGGGUGAUCGGCCACACUGGAACUGAGACACGGUCCAGACUCCUACGGGUGGCAGCAGUAGGGAAUCUUCCGCAAUGGGCGAAAGCCUGACGGAGCAACGCCGCGUGAGUGAUGAAGGUCUUCGGAUCGUAAAACUCCGUUAUUAGGGAAGAACAAAUGUGUAAGUAACUAUGCACGUCUUGACGGUACCUAAUCAGAAAGCCACGGCUAACUACGCG